GAGAGCACAGUACGAUGAAAGUUGUGAGCUAUGUUCGGAGGGGAGUUAUUUUAUAUCAUUGGCCUCUAUGGUAGAAUCAAUCGGGGAGGCCUGAGAGACGGUGGUUUACCCUGU
rnacentral:ncRNA from 1 species